UACGUAGGGUCCAAGCGUUAUCCGGAAUCACUGGGCGUAAAGCGUGUGUAGGUGGAUUAGUAAGUGAGAUGCGAAAUUCUGCGGCUCAACCGUAUGAACUGUUUCUCAUACUGCUAGUCUUGAGGAUGGCAGAGGCAAGUGGAAUUACCGGUGUAGCAGUGAAAUGCGUAGAUAUCGGUAGGAACACCAAUGGCGAAGGCAGCUUGCUGGGCCACACCUGACACUGAGACACGAAAGCGUGGGGAGCGAACAGG
rnacentral:rRNA from 1 species